GGCUAUGCCAACAAAUAAAUAUAGCUUGUAAACACACAAGCCCUUUCUUGCAGCAGAGCUGAGACAUCCUUUGACAAGGUGUUAAACAAGACUACCUUGUUGGCAACAGGCUGAGCAAAGCUGACGUUCACCUGGUUGAAAUGAUCUACAACAUGGGAGAGCUGGACUCCAACGUUUUGGCCAACUUCCCUCUGCUGCAGGACUGCAUGCUGCAUGGCUUCUUCCAGCUUUCUGUCAGCUGGUCUACAUGGAGGAGGUUU